UAGGUGAACCUGCGGAAGGAUCAUU
rnacentral:ncRNA from 19 species